UGGUGCAGUCUAUGGCGGGUGGUAGAAACUUUGCACGAUCCAACUGUUGAUAUCGAUUCUGAAGGAGAUCGGAUGGUUGCUGUUCAUUACCGGUUGAAAACUAAGUGAAGAAGGAUUUUUGUGUGUGAUCCAACGGCUAAAAUUCCAUCCAUCACUUGAUCCGACGGUUGGUGUUCAUACCGACUGAGAAUAGAAAGUUUUGAGCACGAUCCAAUGGCUGAAAAUAUAUCAUGAGCACGAUCCAAUGGCUAUUAUCGUUCCCGAUGAGAGGACUUAAUCAUUGAUUUUUGAUGUGAUCUGGGUGGUCCAAUGAAGAUCCGACGGUCAGAAUAAAUUGAUACGGGUAUAAUAUAAUUUUUAAAGAUUUUAAGACUCCUUUUGCUAUUAGAAAAAGGUAAAAAAUUUAUCUAUAAAUAGGAAGUCCCGAAAUAAGAGGAAGGAGAAGAAAAAAUUAGUAGAA
rnacentral:lncRNA from 1 species